GAGACUUUCUUUGUUGCUUAUAGUGGCUGAGCAUUAGCCCUGGAAAAGAAUGCAACAAAUGAUUCUUUUUUAUUAUUUAUUUAUUUAGCAAGAGAUGUUUUAAAGUAGAUGAAGCGUGCUUGUUGGAUUUAAGAGAAACUGGUCCAAGUUCCCGAUACUAAAAGAUGGAGCUGGAGCUUAAGAUCUCUACUUUUGAAAAACACUGGCACCUGGGGCUUUGAUAAACAGAUCCUCUUGCUGCUCCUGUAUAUGUGGGAGUCAAAUGGUUCAAGAUUGAAAUCAUUGGCUUCACUUUUCUCCAACAUUAAAUGGCAUAGGCUGUUGACAUGUACUUUAUAUUCCUGCAGUGAUUAUAAAAUCCCCUGUUCUGAAUAAAAUACAUUUUUCACUCA